UUGGAGGGCAAGUCUGGUGCCGGCAGCCGCGGUAAUUCCAGCUCCAAUAGCGUAUAUUAAAGUUGUUGCAGUUAAAAAGCUCGUAGUUGAAUUUCGAGAUCAAUUUGUCGGUCGUGCCUCGGUAUGUACUGGCAUUAUUGAUUUCUCCCUUCUGAAGAACCGCGAUGUCAUUAAUUUGGUGUCGUGGGGAAUCAGGACUGUUACUUUGAAAAAAUUAGAGUGUUUAAAGCAGGCGCACGCUUGAAUACAUUAGCAUGGAAUAAUGAAAUAGGACGUUUGAUUCUAUUUUGUUGGUUUCUAGGAUCGACGUAAUGAUUAAUAGGGAUAGUUGGGGGCAUUAGUAUUCAAUUGUCAGAGGUGAAAUUCUUGGAUUUAUUGAAGACUAACUACUGCGAAAGCAUUUGCCAAGGAUGUUUUCAUUAAUCAAGAACGAAAGUUAGGGGAUCGAAGACGAUCAGAUACCGUCGUAGUCUUAACCAUAAACUAUGCCGACUAGGGAUCGGAUGAUGUUAAUUUUUUAAUGACUCAUUCGGCGCCUUACGGGAAAC
rnacentral:rRNA from 1 species